rnacentral:miRNA from 2 species
UGCCAAGUAUGCAGCACGUUGA